CAGCCGCCGCGGUAAUACCGGCGGCCCGAGUGGCGGUCACUAUUAUUGGGCUUAAAGCGUCCGUAGCCGGGUUGGGAAGUCCUCCGGGAAAUCUGGCCGCUUAACGGUCAGAAUUCCGGGAGAUACUGCCAGCCUAGGGACCGGGAGAGGCCGAGGGGAUUCCCGGAGUAGGGGGGAAAUCCUAUAAUCCCGGGAGGACCACCUGUGGCGAAGGCGCUCGGCUGGAACGCGUCCGACGGUGAGGGACGAAGGCCAGGGGAGCAAACCGGAUUAGAUACCCGGGUAGUCCUGGCGGUAAACGAUGCGGACUUUGUGUCGGACAAGCUAUGAGCUUGUCCGGUGCCGGAGGGAAACCGUUAAGUCCGCCGCCUGGGGAGUACGGCCGCAAGGCUGAAACUUAAAGGAAUUGGCGGG
rnacentral:rRNA from 1 species